UACGAAGGGGGCGAGCGUUGUUCGGAAUUAUUGGGCGUAAAGGGCGCGUAGGCGGUGCGGCAAGUCAGGUGUGAAACCUCCAGGCUCAACUUGGAGCUGGCAUCUGAAACUGCCGUGCUAGAGUGCGGGAGAGGAGAGUGGAAUUCCUGGUGUAGCGGUGAAAUGCGUAGAUAUCAGGAGGAACACCUGCGGUGUAGACGGCUUUCUGGACCAUUGCUGACGCUGAGACACGAAAGCGUGGGUAGCAAACAGG
rnacentral:rRNA from 1 species